rnacentral:lncRNA from 1 species
ACGCUAAAUGGCAGAUUGUUGUGUUGAGUGGUUGUCAAAAGUUUUCCUAUUUUUCCAUGAACAUUACCGAUGAAUUCAUCAGUAAAUUCAAGUUCUUUUCUGUGAAACUUGUUUGUGAUGUGAUUUAUUCCUUAUGUGUGCUGGAUCAAAUUCAAAAUUCCUCAAUCUAACCUGUAGGAACGGGAAAGGAAACAGUAGCAUACAAGUAGCCUACCAUCACUACCACCAACUUUAUUAUUAAAAAUCUUCAUUCUGCUGAAUGCAUCAUGUAGUUAAUACAGUUUCUAUUGAUCUUGGUCACUACUCCAGAGUGACCCAACUGGUGUGAACAUGUUUGUUUUUCUGAAUAUGUUUUUCAACAAACAAUUCAUUGACAUAUAAGUAAAGCUAUGAAAAAUAUCAUAUCAUCUAGGCCAUGGGUAAUCUUCAGGUUUAUUGCAGCAGCUUAAUAGAAGAAUAUGAACAAAUGCAGGGCACAUACUAACAUGUGUUGUAUUUUUCUGAAUGUUAAACAAGAGCAGAAGAUUCAACAUGACUAACUGUUUGAAGCUAAAGUUAGUUGGAACUCAACUCACUGUAUGUACAGAUAACUGGUGCUGUUGCCUUUCAGUCACAGGCAGGAAAAUUAUUCUUUUCUUCAGAAAAAUCUAGUGAAAGCCGAAAGGCAUGUCGAAUUCAAUCCAGCCGCUGCGUUCAGUCAUUUGGAACAGGAAUCUAAUGGCUGUCAAUAGGUGGCUGUGAAUAAGUGGCUGUAUGAUGUCCACCAGGUAGCGCGAGUGUCGACUGUCGAGUCCGCCAGUUUAGCGGCCAUUUUGAUCCAAGACGCAGCAGAAGUUGGUUGUGACGUUUCUCAGUUCUCACGAUGAAAAUUAAAAGGUGAUUUAGCACGUAGAAACCAAUUUGCCAAAUCAUUCAACUCAGACUUGGGAAGUGCCUGUACAUUUCCGAAUUGGCGUGCCUUGUGUGUCUCGCUGUCUGUUCUUUGGUUCACGUCUCACCCCAUUCAACAGGAAAAAGUAAAACAAACACUGGUGGUUACCUUGUUGCAGCCAAAUGGUGAAAGGUGUGACAAAGACAAAUUGAACUGUUGUAUGCAGCAUGUGGUUGCAGUGUAAUCCAGAAGUUGCUGUGCUGUUGUAGCUGAGCUGUUGCAUCUGGGUUCCUGACUUAAACAUUUUUGUGUUUGUGUUUUCAUCCAUGCCAUAUGAAAUUGCUCUGCCAGUGAUAUUUUGUGUUGCUGCGUUAAAAGUUUGAUCUGUUGUCUUUUGAGUUUCCAUUCAAUCAUGCAGUAUACGACUGAGGCAACCUGAUCAAUGUCAGGUUUGACACAGUCGAGAACUGCUAGAUCAAACAAGCUUUCUGCGCCAAACAAAUAAUAAUUUGCAUAUAAUUUGCAUCAUGUUAUUAUCGCGGUAGAGAAAGCGACAGGCCCCCCCCCCCCUGGGGGCCACAGGAAAAA